rnacentral:rRNA from 1 species
AUACGUAGGGGGCAAGCGUUGACCGGAAUUACUGGGUGUAAAGGGCGCGUAGGCGGGGAGGUAAGUCGGAUGUGAAAUUCCGGGGCUCAACCCCGGCACUGCAUCUGAAACUGAUGAUCUUGAGUGCGGGAGAGGACGGCGGAAUUUCCAGUGUAGCGGUGAAAUGCGGAGAUAUUAGGAAGAACACCGGUGGCGAAGGCGGAUAUCUGGACAGUAACUGACGCUGAGGCGGGAAAGCGUGGGGAGCAAACAGGAUUAGAUUCCCUGGUAGUCCACGCCGUAAACGAUUAAUACUAGGUGUAGGGGGUAUCGACUCCCUCUGUGGCGCAGUUAACACAAUAAGUAUUCCGCCUGGGGAGUACGGCCGCAAGGUUGAAACUCAAAGGAAUUGACGGGG